ensembl:lncRNA
CCUCUCUGGGGCCCAGUGAGCGGCCCUCUCUGGGGCCCAGAGAGCAGUCCUCUCUGGGGCCCAGGGAGCGGUCCUCUCUGGGGCCCAGGGAGCGGUCCUCUCUGGGCCCCACGGAGGGCCAGUCAUCUCUGGGCCCCACGGAGCGGUCCUCUCUGGGGCCCACGGAGCGGUCCUCUCUGGGGCCAAGGGAGCGGUCCUCUCUGGGGCCCAGGGAGCGGUCCUCUCCGUGGGCCCAGGGAGCGGUCCUCUCUGGGGCCCACGGAGCGGUCCUCUCCGUGGGGCCCAGGAGCGGUCCUCUCUGGGGCCCAGGGAGCGGUCCUCUCUGGGCCCCACGGAGCGGUCCUCUCCGUGGGGCCCAGGGAGCGGUCGGAGGUGAACAGGGAAUUUAUUUAUCAGAAGAUCGGGAAGAGGAACAUUGGAACUACCUGAUUACUUUCUAAAAAUACUUGCAUAUCUUGCACUAGAGUGUGCAAGAUAUUUUUUGUUGAUAAAAAUGGAAAUGGUUAUAAAUGGAAAGAUAAAACAGUGAUAUAAAGGAACUCCAUUUAAAGCAUGCUCAGACAUGCUCACCAUUUUGGUGUUAAUAGACAGAAGCUGUAGAAUACAUCUCUUUAUGUUUCACGUACACACAAACCCUGAGUCACGGUUUGCAUACAUGUUAAAGUGCUGUUGGUUGGAUUUAUGAGCAAUUAUUUGAGGGCUUUUGAUUUUGUUAGAAAUGGCUUAUUCAUCUGUCAGCUAAUGUGAGUGAAGAAAUUAAAUUAGAUAUACACACUAAUCACAAUGUAUGAACAACAUAGACUCCGGUUAUGGCAAGUCAUUAUGCCUUCAUAGCAGCUUAGUCAAAGUUAUCUUAUUCUACAAUAGUUAUAUUACACAACAAACACAGCUUCAACACAUUGUGCUUUGUUUCACUUGAUUUACUUUUGAAGGACCUUUUCCCCUGCUUAUUUACAGUGCAUAUUACAAGUUUUGUUGGGGACUAUUGAGCAAGUACAUGUGGACAUUUAAUUCUAAAACAGCUGUUCUCCCCAGUAACAGCUGGAUAUCCUAUGCAUCAUUUAAAUUAAUGGAAAUGGACAUUGAGGUCUGCCGAUGUCAUUGAACAAUGGGAAUUUCAACUUAACAUUGUGUUCUUUGGAAUAUCCUUUUCACACUGUGAGAGAUGUACUAUGAUGCUUCCCUAAGGGUUGCAGAAAGUAGAAAUCCCUGAUUCUAAAUACCAGUGCUAUUAUGGACUUGUACAAUGGAAAAUAUAACAUGUACUCACUGCAGGUAUGUGGACUACAAACACCAAGUCUUUCACUGUGCUGAGGACUAGAGGUGAACCACUUGGUCAUCCCCAGUGGCAAAAACACAUGCUAUGCAUACGUUUGCGCACACACACACAAAACAUACACACAGACAAAGUUAUGUAUAUAUACUCCAGUCUUUUGUUCAUCCAUAGAUUUACAAAGAAGAAAACUAGUCUUCAUUUAACACAUUCUCAUUCCUUCUCGGACAGACUUCUUUAAAAGGAAUACGUUAUUUUGUUAAACAAUCUUUUUUCCUUUCAGCCUUGUAACACUGCCACUGUGUCAUGCUUAAACAGUGGCAUCAAUACACAAACGCACACAAAAACACACACAAACACACCAAGUCUUCAAAAACACCAGUGUUGUCUUAAGAUUGCCAGUCAUCACUCAACCCAGUUUAGUUGUGCUUAAUCCCCACCAAUACAGUAAUCAUUCAUCAUGGAGCAGCUAUAUCAAUGAACCACCAACAUGCCCUUUUAUUUCAUUCUCUGUUCAACGAGGAUGGUAAGUGCAGGAGGCCAUGCAUAGAGGGAGCCAAACCAGCCAGGCCUGCCAAUCCAGUUCCUCCUCUCUGUGGAGAGACUGGGAGAGGGGAGGAGGAGUUAUGUUACUCCUGCCCAGUGAGUGUCAAACGGUGCUGGGGUUUUGCUGCUGGCUACCCAUGUGGUGGAUCUCCGGUCCUGCUGUUGUUUCGACACUGUGGCACAAUUUGACAAAAGUCAAUCCUGUAUUGAGAUGUAUAUUUCUAUGGUAAAGAAUAUAUUGAAAAUAUUUUUUUGUACAAGUGAUGAUACUAAUAAAUGUAAUGCAUGAAACCGGGCCAGUUUCAGAUUUUGUUUAAAGGCCUGUAUUUAUUGUAUGUUUUUGUUAAUCUUUUAAAAGAUUAACGCAGUUACAC